rnacentral:rRNA from 1 species
AUGGUGGUGGCGGGGCCUCGGUUGUCCUGCUCAUGUGUGGGGAACCCCGGAUCUAGAGCGGCGGCUCCAUUGGCAAGGCACGGCCGGCUAACAGCCAUCCGGGUGGCGGAUCCGGUGUCUCGGCCGCGCGGGGGGCCGAAUCCGGUGGUCGUUGGCGGCCGGCACCGGCUUAUGCGGUGGUCGGUGUGCACGAUCUGGCGCGUCCCUUCCUCCCCUGUUCGGCGUGCGGGCUAG